rnacentral:lncRNA from 1 species
AUUGUUUCAUUCAUUCGUUUCUUUUAUUAACCUGUCUGUUUGCUCAUUUGUUCACCUUAAGGGAAAUCAUCACGUGCAUCAAGCAAGUUCAAGUGGAGAAAAAGAGAUGAAAUAAUUCGCACUAAUUUCAUUAAUGCUGGCUUGGAGCAUUUGUUUGUGGAUGUUAUGGUGGCCGAUGCUUCCAGGCAAGUACUUCGACCAACGCCUAUCUUUGAUGCAAUCAUCACUGAUCCUCCUUAUGGAGUCCGUGAAGGUGUUCGCAGUCAAAUGUCUGAAAAAGAACUUACUGAGAAUAGG